UACGUAGGGGGCAAGCGUUGUCCGGAAUCAUUGGGCGUAAAGAGCGUGUAGGCGGCUCGGUAAGUCCGCUGUGAAAGUCCAGGGCUCAACCCUGGAAUGCCGGUGGAAACUGUCGAGCUAGAGUCCGGAAGAGGCGAGUGGAAUUCCUGGUGUAGCGGUGAAAUGCGCAGAUAUCAGGAGGAACACCAAUGGCGAAGGCAGCUCGCUGGGACGGUACUGACGCUGAGACGCGAAAGCGUGGGGAG
rnacentral:rRNA from 1 species